GAGGAAUAUUGGUCAAUGGGCGGAAGCCUGAACCAGCCAUCCCGCGUGCAGGAAGACAGCCCUAUGGGUUGUAAACUGCUUUUCCAGUGGGCGAAACACUCGUACGUGUACGAGAUUGACGGUACACUGGGAAUAAGCAUCGGCUAACUCCGUGCCAGCAGCCGCGGUAAUACGGAGGAUGCAAGCGUUAUCCGGAUUUAUUGGGUUUAAAGGGUGCGUAGGCGGAUGAAUAAGUCAGUGGUGAAAGGCUGCAGCUUAACUGUAGACUUGCCGUUGAUACUGUUUAUCUUGAGUAUGGUCAAGGCAGGCGGAAUGUGUAAUGUAGCGGUGAAAUGCUUAGAUAUUACACAGAACACCGAUUGCGAAGGCAGCUUGCUGGGCCAUUACUGACGCUGAUGCACGAAAGCGUGGGGAGCGAAC
rnacentral:rRNA from 1 species